GCAACCAUUGGUACUUAAAUGUAAGGACAGCGUUCUUGAUGCAGAUGCAGGAUAAACAAAUCCACCGAUUGCAGGCCAGAAGGAUAAAAAUAUUCCAACAGCUAAUCCUCCGAAGGCACCCUGUAAAGUAACAGAAAGAAGCAUUAAAGAAAUUAAGGGCAGAAGAUUGGAUACUGGAACCUGGAGGAACUCAGCAAGUCAGGCAUCAUCUUUGCAGUGAAAUGCACAGCCUAUAUUUUGGGUCAAACCCUUCAUCUGAACUUGUCCAGUUGGAAGACAUUAAGGAGAUUGAAAGGUUGAACAGAAGUUUGAGGUAGUGAGGCAGCUGCAAGCAGUAUUAAAUUUAUAUCCUGACGAAGGGUCUCAGCCCGAAACGUUGACUGCUCAUUUCAAUGGAUGCUGCCCGACCUGCUGAGUUCAUCCAGCUUGUUUGUACGUGUUGAUUUGACCACAGCAUCUGCAGUGUACUUUGUGUUUAAAUUUAUAUCCAGUGCUUCACCACUUCCAAUGUCUGUAUUUACAACAUACAGCUAUGUACACCAGAGUAAUUAAAAUUAAAAUCCAGGUUGAAGAAGAGGGCGGGGGACAUCAUAAAGGACUCCUUCCAUCCUGUGCACGGACUGUUUGAACUGCUUCCGUCUGGUAGGCGCUUCAGAUCCCUCCAGACUAAGACUAAUAGGCACUGGAGAAGUUUUUUCCCUACUGCGGUCACUUUGCUGAACAGUUAACUGCCAGCUAACUAUUACUUGGAUUGCACUACCUGUAUGUAUAAUCUAUAUUUUCAUUUAUAUUUAUCAUUAUUAUUGUUAUGAGCAGAGAGACAACAUCUGCCGGAAGUAAAUUCCUUGUAUGUGCACAGAUACUUGGCGAUUAAAGUCUGAUUCUGAUUCUGAUUAGCUAUAUGCCAGUCCUGUUACUGUCCAUCACAAAGGUAUAAACACUGGAGUUAUGUAAGGUAGACUUGGUGUUAAAUGUCAGUUUGCAUUUCACUGAAGUGUUAUUAAUUUGGCUCCUUGUCAAAUCUGGUUUAAUGGUGCCACAACGACAACAUCUCACUCAAAGUCAGCAAAGCUAAGGAGCUGCUUAUUGACAACAGGAGGAAAAAGCCAAAGGUCCAUGAGCCAGACUUCAUUGUAGCAUUGGAGAGCAACAGUAACUCUAAAUUUGUUGUUCUCAUAUCAGAGGAUCUGUCUGGUACCAGCAUACUAUAGAGUACUGUGCACAUAUGUGUAGCUAGGGUGCCUAACAUUUUUGCACAACACUUUAGACUACGCCAGGCACA